CUUCAGCGAACCCAGAUACAGCGGGUGCCCGUCCGUGCGGUCCUGGCCAUAGGUGGCCAGCAGGGCCUGCGCCUC
rfam:Streptomyces griseus subsp. griseus NBRC 13350 DNA, complete genome.